CAGAACUGUAGCUGUGAAAUCGUUCACUUGGAUGUCAUAGGUUGCAUUGAAUAAGUACAGCUGGCAAAAAUAUCGUCUCACUGCUGUGAUGGAAUCCCCGUCCCAUCGAGGAAGGAGGCAGAUGUGAAAUGGGAAGCUGGUCUGGGGGUCUCUGACCGGUGGGAAUCUGUAUCCGGAAGCGAGAUACCAGCUGGUGCAAAGAAGAGGAAUACGAGGAACACAUGAGCUGCGAUGGCGGACACAGCCGUGUGACGGGGAGUGACAGGAGCAGAAGGGAUGAGAUAUGGACACAGAGGCAUUGUGGGAAAACAUGAACAGGAUAGAAACACGAGACUGUGACAUAAAUAUGGUAAUAUGACAUGAACCUAGAGGUGAUGGAAACACGUGUGGAAGUGUGAGUGAAGGUAAACACAUUGAUUUGUCGUGGGCAUCAGUGGUCUUUCAGGGAGAAAAGAUUGUGAUCUUUGUCACCUGGGAUAAAACAACAGUCCCUGAGCCCCGUGUCACUAAGACAUUUAUGGACCCUUAUUUGGACACACAAAACCAUGAUUACUCAGGAUUCCCCAGCCACCAUGCUGGGCUAACACAGCUUCUUAAUGUUUUUUUCAGAGCUGUCAUCAAAGUUUCCAGAGAUCAUACCUCAUGUUAGGAAACACCGUGCAUUGUAGGAAAUCUCAGCAUGACCUCAUCUCUGAAUGUCCACCAUGAAGUAAUCUGUAGUUUGUGAUUCAGUAACUGGCUUCACCUACUUCACUCAACUCACUUAGAUGAUACGCUUAUCUGACAUCAGCGUAUUAUUGAUGAAGCAUACUUUUCAUAAAUAUAUCCUUCACGAUUCAGCAUAUCUUAAACACUAUUUUGUCUUGCACCGUCCUCAUAUUAUUAGUAGUAAUUGACACGUGUGUGUAUCUAUUUCCAUGAGUGAAGUGGCUGACUGACAGAGCACAUGGUUCUCAGUUUGGGUUUCACAGAGGGGUGAGGUGAAGCUCCACUCUUAUUUACAGGCCUGACACCUCUUAGGAGAUCAAAAAGUCUGGUGACAGGGAAGCCCCAGCGGGGGGAACCAUGAGGAGGCCAAGCUGAGAGAGGCUGCUCUCCGCUGGGUGUAAAUAUCACCCAGCGGUGGGGAUACAUUUGAGGAGAGCGUCUGCAUCCCUGAGUCCUGUGUGGACGCUUCUACCUGAUCCAAGAAGGAGUCAGACCUGCAUCUCAGACUGCUGGCUGCUUUGGCCCAGUCUUUUCACACAUCAACUAUGUACUGCUGGGUUUCUUCCAUAAUUACCUCAUUAAUUUUGACCUUUCUCCUACUGUAGUCUAAAUAUUAGCAUUGAAUAAUAUUAAAUAAGUAGCCAGUGAU